UACGAAGGGGGCUAGCGUUGCUCGGAAUCACUGGGCGUAAAGCGCACGUAGGCGGAUCUUUAAGUCAGGGGUGAAAUCCUGGAGCUCAACUCCAGAACUGCCUUUGAUACUGAGGAUCUUGAGUCCGGGAGAGGUGAGUGGAACUCCGAGUGUAGAGGUGAAAUUCGUAGAUAUUGGGAAGAACACCGAUGGCGAAGGCAGCCAUCUGGACCGACACUGACGCUGAGGCGCGAAAGCGUGGGGAGCAAACAGG
rnacentral:rRNA from 1 species